rnacentral:rRNA from 1 species
UAGGGAAUCUUCCGCAAUGGGCGAAAGCCUGACGGAGCAACGCAGCGUGAGUGAAGAAGGUCUUCGGAUCGUAAAACUCUGUUAUUAGGGAAGAACAAAUGUGUAAGUAACUAUGCACGUCUUGACGGUACCUAAUCAGAAAGCCACGGCUAACUACGUGCCAGCAGCCGCGGUAAUACGUAGGUGGCAAGCGUUAUCCGGAAUUAUUGGGCGUAAAGCGCGCGUAGGCGGUUUUUUAAGUCUGAUGUGAAAGCCCACGGCUCAACCGUGGAGGGUCAUUGGAAACUGGAAAACUUGAGUGCAGAAGAGGAAAGUGGAAUUCCAUGUGUAGCGGUGAAAUGCGCAGAGAUAUGGAGGAACACCAGUGGCGAAGGCGACUUUCUGGUCUGUAACUGACGCUGAUGUGCGAAAGCGUGGGGAUCAAACAGG